AGCUUCGUAGCUCAGCUGAUAGAGCGCUUGCCGCGUUGAGGCAUGUCGUCUGUGUUGCUGGUUCGAAUGCAGCCGAAGCUC
rnacentral:tRNA from 1 species